rnacentral:rRNA from 1 species
GGCCAGACUCCUACGGGAGGCAGCAGUGGGGAAUAUUGCACAAUGGGGGGAACCCUGAUGCAGCGACGCCGCGUGGGUGAAGGAGCACCUCGGUGCGUAAAGCCCUAUCGGCAGGGAAGAAAAGCGAACAGGUUCGCCUGGACGGUACCUGACUAAGAAGCCCCGGCUAACUACGUGCCAGCAGCCGCGGUAAUACGUAUGGAGCAAGCGUUAUCCGGAUUUACUGGGCGUAAAGGGAGCGUAGGCGGCCUGCCAAGUCUGAUGUGAAAUGCCGGGGCGCAACCCCGGGGCUGCAUUGGAAACUGGCAGGCUGGAGUGCCGGAGAGGCAGGCGGAAUUCCUAGUGUAGCGGUGAAAUGCGUAGAUAUUAGGAGGAACACCAGUGGCGAAGGCGGCCUGCUGGACGGUGACUGCCGCUGAGUCUCGAAAGCGUGGGGAGCACACAGGAUUAGAUACCCUAGUAU